UACGGAGGGUGCGAGCGUUGUCCGGAAUCACUGGGCGUAAAGGGCGCGUAGGCGGCGCGGGUAGUCAUCGGUGAAAGUUCAGGGCUCAACUCUGAAUCGGCCGGUGAUACUCCCGUGCUCGAGCACUGUAGAGGCAGGUGGAAUUCCGGGUGUAGCGGUGGAAUGCGUAGAUAUCAGGAGGAACACCGGUGGUGUAGACGGCUUUCUGGACCGUAACUGACGCUGAGACACGAAAGCGUGGGUAGCAAACAGG
rnacentral:rRNA from 1 species